GAUGAAGAACGCAGCGAAAUGCGAUAAGUAAUGUGAAUUGCAGAAUUCAGUGAAUCAUCGAAUCUUUGAACGCGCAUUGCGCCCCCUGGUAUUCCGGGGGGCAUGCCUGUUCGAGCGUCAUUUCACCACUCAAGCCUCGCUUGGUAUUGGGCAACGCGGUCCGCCGCGUGCCUCAAAUCGACCGGCUGGGUCUUCUGUCCCCUAAGCGUUGUGGAAACUAUUCGCUAAAGGGUGUUCGGGAGGCUACGCCGUAAAACAACCCCAUUUCUAAGGUUGACCUCGGAUCAGGUAGGGAUACCCGCUGAACUUAAGCAUAUCAAUAAGCGGAGGA
rnacentral:misc_RNA from 1 species